rnacentral:pre_miRNA from 1 species
AGUGAGAUUGCUGGGUUGUAUGGUAAGUAUAUAUUUACCUUUAUAAGAAACUGCCAGACUAUUUUCUGAAGUAGUUUUACCAUUUCACAUCCCCACUAGCAGU